GUUUUCAUGGCGCUAACAAUAUGGCGAUGUAAUGGUGAUCUAGCAAAAAGGAACAUAUCCGUAUAUAUUUGCCACUGAAUUUUUCGUUUGCAAUCUACGUAUCUAUCAAUAUCGUAUCUAUUUCAUUCUAAUAAUCAAAAUACCCUGUCAAGUCGUUCCCACUGAUUGUCUCGUCUUCUACUGGCGUUUAAAAAGAGUUUCAGGCCCUAAUAAGCGUUUUCACUUCCACUUUCACUUCACACUUAUAUCACUACACUUGAUUUUCCCUGUUACCAGUAUCACGCACACUAAAGUAGUUACUGUAGUGAAAAAAAUUAUUUUUCCAAAAAAAUGAUGUGAUGUUCGUAAUAACUACAAGCUCAUAAAAGUAAUUACUUCUUCCUCUGAAGCGACUUUCGUGAUAAAUACCUACAUUCACUUCACUUGAUUUUCACCGUGAAGUGAUACCUAUAAUAAGGGUUUUCACCGUGUAGUGAUACCGGUGAUAAGGGCCUCAUUAUAUGAAUUCGAUAUAAGGGAAGAAUUAAAAAGAGACACUCCGGUUCCGCAUUUUAGCGUAGGCCACUUUUUUUGGUUCCUUCACACAACGGCAUGUAGCUACGUACAUAUAUCAUUAAAUGCAAUUCAUAUCAGCGAAGCGCAGAUCACAGCUGAUUGAAAUUGUAAUCGCAGCAUAUUUCACCGGUAACUAAACAUUUAUUUUUUGUAGGACUUUUAUGUAAUUGAAAUAUUGGAGAAGAAGUCAUAUAAAAUUUGUGAAUGCUGAUUAGUACAUUUGAUUUGAAGCAUAACACCAACAUUCGCCGUCAUACUGUUCGUCGGAGUACUACAAUGCAAUGGGUUGAAGAUCAUUCUGGUCUCACGGUGAGAUUUUUUUCACCCUCUGAGCAUCACGCCGUAGAUAAACGCAAAAGCGGUUAGUUUCGGGUUUUUACGCACUUUGAAGAGAAGC